rnacentral:rRNA from 1 species
AUGAACGCUAGCUACAGGCUUCACACAUGCAAGUCGAGGGGAAACGACAUCGAAAGCUUGCUUUUGAUGGGCGUCGACCGGCGCACGGGUGAGUAACGCGUAUCCAACCUGCCCAUCACUUGGGAAUAACCUUGCGAAAGUAAGACUAAUACCCAAUGACAUCCCACGAAGACAUCUGAAUGGGAUUAAAGAUUUAUCGGUGAUGGAUGGGGAUGCGUCUGAUUAGCUUGUUGGCGGGGUAACGGCCCACCAAGGCAACGAUCAGUAGGGGUUCUGAGAGGAAGGUCCCCCACAUUGGAACUGAGACACGGUCCAAACUCCUACGGGAGGCAGCAGUGAGGAAUAUUGGUCAAUGGGCGAGAGCCUGAACCAGCCAAGUAGCGUGCAGGAUGACGGCCCUAUGGGUUGUAAACUGCUUUUAUAAGGGAAUAAAGUGGGUCUCGUGAGACUUUUUGCAUGUACCUUAUGAAUAAGGACCGGCUAAUUCCGUG